UCACUCUUUCUCUCUCUCUCUCUCUCUCUCUCUCUCUCUCUCAGACCACGGCUGCUGCUCCGCACACCACUGACACCGCUAUAGCCACCGCCUCAGGAAAACACCACAACUGCUGCUCUGCACACCACUGACACCGCUACAGCCACCGCCUCAGGAAAUCACCAUGGAUGCUGCUCUGCUGCCGCCGCCACAGGAAAUCCCUGUUCCGAAGACGAAGACGAAACGCUGGGGCGACAAAGAAGACGACGAGCCUUUGGAGGACACGGCUACUUCGUCAUUGUCGAGGCCUUAACCAUCGACGACACCAAAACGCUCAUCACUGCGUGACCACAUGACACUUAUUAAAGCUUUUGAAGGAUAGAAGGAUGCAAACCGUAAUGAAAAGAAUCCUGUCACCUUUCAAAUGACAGAGGAUAUGAGAAUGCAAUUUGUAGAUCUAUUUAGCUUUGGCUUUGUAAACAAAUUGAUGAAUGCUAAUAUAAGUUCUUUAAGA